rfam:Triticum aestivum genome assembly, contig: Triticum_aestivum_CS42_TGACv1_scaffold_210860_3AS
AAAGUACUCCCUCCGUCCCAAAAUUCUUGUCUUAGAUUUGUCUAGAUACGGAUGUAUCAAAUCACAUUUUAGUAUUAGAUACAUCCGUAUCUAGAAAAAUCUAAGACAAGAAAUUUGGGACAGAGGGAGUAGUUG